UACGAAGGGUGCAAGCGUUAAUCGGAAUUACUGGGCGUAAAGCGUGCGUAGGCGGUUUGUUAAGUCUGCUGUGAAAUCCCCGGGCUCAACCUGGGAACUGCAUUCAAAACUGACAAGCUAGAGUAUGGUAGAGGGUGGUGGAAUUUCCUGUGUAGCGGUGAAAUGCGUAGAUAUAGGAAGGAACACCAGUGGCGAAGGCGACCACCUGGACUGAUACUGACACUGAGGUGCGAAAGCGUGGGGAGCAAACAGG
rnacentral:rRNA from 1 species